rnacentral:sRNA from 1 species
GCUGGGUGUAGUGGCUUAUGUCUGUAAUCCCAGUUACUCAGGAGGCUAAGGCAGGAGGAUUAUAAGUUUGAGGCUAGCCCCAGCAAUUUAGCAACAUCUUGUCUCAA